rfam:Heterocephalus glaber contig179876, whole genome shotgun sequence.
CCAAAGGCUCUUUUCAGAGCCGCUAAUUUUCUCAUGUGCAGAGUUG